UACAGAGGGUGCGAGCGUUAAUCGGAAUUACUGGGCGUAAAGCGUGCGUAGACGGUUAUUUAAGUCGGGUGUGAAAGCCCCGGGCUCAACCUGGGAAUUGCAUUCGAGACUGAAUAGCUAGGGUACGGUAGAGGGAAGUGGAAUUUCCGGUGUAGCGGUGAAAUGCGUAGAUAUCAGGAGGAACACCUAUAGCGAAGGCAGCUUGCUGGGACGUUACUGACGCUAAGGCGCGAAAGCGUGGGGAGCGAACGAGGA
rnacentral:rRNA from 1 species